AGAGUUUGAUCCUGGCUCAGAACGAACGCUGGCGGCAGGCCUAACACAUGCAAGUCGAACGCUCCCUUCGGGGAGAGUGGCAGACGGGUGAGUAACGCGUGGGAAUCUUCCUAUCGGUACGGAAUAGCUCAGGGAAACUUGAGGUAAUACCGCAUACGCCCUUCGGGGGAAAGAUUUAUCGCCGAUAGAUGAGCCCGCGUCUGAUUAGCUUGUUGGUGAGGUAAUGGCUCACCAAGGCGACGAUCAGUAGCUGGUCUUAGAGGAUGAUCAGCCACACUGGGACUGAGACACGGCCCAGACUCCUACGGGAGGCAGCAGUGGGGAAUAUUGGACAAUGGGCGCAAGCCUGAUCCAGCCAUGCCGCGUGAGUGACGAAGGUCUUCGGAUUGUAAAACUCUUUUGGCGGGGACGAUAAUGACGGUACCCGCAGAAUAAGCCCCGGCUAACUUCGUGCCAGCAGCCGCGGUAAUACGAAGGGGGCUAGCGUUGUUCGGAAUUACUGGGCGUAAAGCGCACGUAGGCGGAUU
rnacentral:rRNA from 1 species